rnacentral:tRNA from 1 species
AAUCCUACUUAUAGGCUGAGAUGAAAGAUUGCAAAUCUUUAAUAGAUAUAUUCCUCAGCUUAAGAUUU